AAGUUUGGACAGUUUUGUACAGUAGGAAUUCUUAUCAAUUCAGGAUCGAGAUAUGAAGCGAAAUACCUUAGUGGAAUUGCUCACUUUUUGGAAAAAUUGGCAUUUUCGUCUACUGCUCGAUUUGACAGCAAAGAUGAAAUUCUGCUUACGUUGGAAAAGCAUGGGGGUAUCUGUGACUGCCAGACAUCAAGAGACACCACCAUGUAUGCUGUGUCUGCUGAUAGCAAAGGCUUGGACACGGUGGUUGGCUUACUGGCCGAUGUGGUUCUGCAGCCCCGGCUAACAGAUGAAGAAGUCGAGAUGACGCGGAUGGCGGUCCAGUUUGAGCUGGAGGACCUGAACCUGCGGCCUGACCCAGAGCCACUUCUCACCGAGAUGAUUCAUGAAAAAACAUAGCAAAGAUCAACGGAGAGGUGCUGCAUUCGUACCUGAGGAACUACUACACUCCCGACCGCAUGGUGCUGGCUGGCGUGGGCGUGGAGCACGAGCAUCUGGUGGACUGUGCCCGGAAGUACCUCCUGGGGGUCCAGCCGGCCUGGGGGAGCGCAGAGGCCGUGGAUAUUGACAGAUCUGUGGCCCAGUA
rnacentral:sRNA from 1 species